UACGUAGGGAGCGAGCGUUGUCCGGAAUUACUGGGUGUAAAGGGAGCGUAGGCGGGAUCGCAAGUCAGAUGUGAAAUACAUAGGCUUAACCUAUGGGCUGCAUUUGAAACUGUGGUUCUUGAGUGAAGUAGAGGUAAGCGGAAUUCCUGGUGUAGCGGUGAAAUGCGUAGAUAUCAGGAGGAACACCGGUGGCGAAGGCGGCUUACUGGGCUUUAACUGACGCUGAGGCUCGAAAGCGUGGGUAGCAAACAGG
rnacentral:rRNA from 1 species